AGCCUCAGGAACAGCUGGUCACUGCCCGGGUGGGCGGACACGCUGUCCUGGCACAGGGGCCUGGCGGGGCAGUGGCCAGAGCGGGGUCCGGCUGUCUGUGUUCCCUGGCUGGCAUGUUGGGAGGAAAAGACUUGGCUGACGGGCCGGAGGCCCCUGCGGCCCCAGGCCCCUGAAAGGAAGGUUCAGAAAGGCCCCUGUGUUCCGGCCUGGUCCAGAGCUGGCUUUUUCCAGACCAGGGCCUCAGGAGUCUUUGGAAAGAACACCGAGUACCUGACGCCCACUGCUGACUCGCUGUGUGACCUCAGGUGGAGAGACUGCCAACGGACGCAUCCAUAGCUGGGCUGAAGUCUGUGUCUCAACUUGUGUCCUGAUU
rnacentral:lncRNA from 1 species